UUUUAUUUGUAAUAUCCCCAAAUGCAAGCAAUCCAAAUGCUGAACAGGUAAACAGACAAGCAGAGUGUAGAAUAUAGAAUAUACAAUGGAAUAAACAAUUAUGAACUAGGUAUACCUGCAACGAUAUAAAUGAAUCUCAGAAUAACUAUUGAGUAGGGGAAGCCAGACUGAAGGAAAGAACGGAUGUUCCUUUUUAUGGCCGCUUAGCAUUCCAUGGUGUAUAGGUACCACAUUUUCUUCAUCCAAUCCACUGCUGAUGGGCAUCUAGGUUGAUUCCAUGUCUUUGCUAUUGUAAACAACGCUUUGAUGAACAUAUGGGUGCACGUGCCUUUUUGAUAAAAUGACUUACUUGCCUUUGGGUAUAUACCUAGUAAUGGAUUGCUGGGUCGAAUAGCAGUUCUAAGUGCUUUCAGAAAUCUCCAAACUGCCUUCCACAGUGGCUGAACUAGUUUUUAUUCCCAGCAAGUGUAUAAGGGUUCCCUCUUCCCCGCAGCCUCACAAGCAUUGGUUGUUUAUUGACUUUUUCAUAAUCGCCAUUCUGACCGGUGUGAGACGUUAUCUCAUUGUGGUCAUGUCCUUCGCAGCAACAUGGAUGGCAGCCAUUGUCCUAAGGAAUUAACCCAAGAAUGGGAAACCAAAUAACGCAUGUUCUCACUUAUAAGUGGGACCUAAACAUUGAAUACACAUAGACAUAAAGAUGGGAGCAGCAGACACUGGGGACGACUAGGGAGGGAGGGAGGCAGGGAGGGAGUGGAACAGAACGUGGGCUGAAAAACUACUACUCACUACCUGGGUGACUGGAUCAUCUGUACCCCAACCUUCAGCACCCUGCAAUAUACUCAUGAAACAAACCUGCACAUGUACCCUUUAAUCUAAAAUAAAAGUUGAAAUUGUUUUUUUAAAAAAGAGCACAUAGUAUAUUAUUCCAUUUACAUAAAAUUUUAGAAAACACAAAUGAAUGUGUUGACAAAUCAGUGGUUGCCUGGAGAAGGGGGAGUGCAGAGAGGUACAUGGGGAAUAAAUUAUAAAGGGACUGGAGGAGAUGUUUGGAGGUGGUGAAUGUGUUCACUAUGUUGAUUGCGGUGAUGAUUUCAUGGACGUACACAUCUGUAGAAACGUUGGUGUGUACAUAUGUUGUAUUCUCAAAUUGUCCACUCUGAGUACGAGCAGUGGGGAUUAAGAGGAAAAUAAUAGUAGAGAACAAAAUCAGAGCUUGGCAUGGCUCUCUGCUGGCACCGUGCAGGGUGUGAUUACAUCAGAUCUGUGCAACUCAGAUCUUGGGGAGGGGUUGGGGGGUGGAAGGUGGAGGGAGGAAGGGAGAGAAAACAGAGGGCGGGAAGAAGGGAAGGAAGUGAAGAAGGGAAUGAGGGACGGAAAGAGAGAGACAGCGAAGAGAGGAGAAAGCUCUUAGCAUAUGAAACUGCAGCUAGGACUAAAACCAGAGGAAGGCACACAGAAUCUUGACUGCUCUUCAGAAAUACAUGGCACUCCGUUAAAAUGAAGAUUUUUGCUGCUCACUCCAGAAAUAUUGAAUCAAAACGUGGAGCAGGAGACAGGCAAGGUGCGUUUGUUUUUAAAGCUCCAUAGGUCAUUCUGAUGGACAGUCUAGACUCUGUUUCCUCCUACACCUUUGAAAGGUAAAUACAGAAAAUGAGGCUGAGAAAACACCUUUAGAAUCAGUCCCCUUUCUUAGCACUUCAGUGGUUCCUGCACAGGGUGCAGAUGCCGAGCUCUCCUUAGGCUCCAGCCCCCAGGCUGGCUGGCUGGUUCCACCGUACAUAGCCCAGAGGCUCACCCCAAUCAGGCAAGGGGCUCCCCAUGUCAGCCAGGCUCCUCUUAUCUGGUGUCUGACACCGCAAACGCAGCAGCCCGAAUAUCCCAACCUGGCUUCCUUCUCCUCACUGCUUCCCUGAUUCCUGGCAUGGCCCUUCCGGAGGAAUGGCAAAUCUUUAUUUCCACUACACAGGGAGACCUGUUAUUAUCCCUAAGAAGCCAAGCAAUGUGUGUGCUGAAUCUACUCAAUCACCAGGUACACUGGACUUUUGGCUUUAUUGUAGUCAUUACUGUUACAAUAUUG
rnacentral:lncRNA from 1 species